GUCAUUUUUAACAAGAAUGUAAAAAUAUAUUUGUGUUUAAAGACAUUCAUAAUACAUUUUGUACCUCUAAAGAAGUUUACAAUUUUUAUAUAGUUAAGUAAAAGAAAAUAAAUGAAAAUAAAAAAAAAUAAUAGUGUAUGCUUAAUAUCUUUUCAUUUGAAAUAGGUUAGCCCAGAAUUAAACAUGUGUACAGUACAUGGUAUCCCUUAAUAUAUUGCCUGGUUUUCUGUUUGACCAAACUCAUUAAUGAGACCAACCCGCUAUUAAGACCAGAUUUGUAAAGUCCCUUCAUUGGUCUCAUUAGCGAGUAAUAGUAAAAAUAAGGAAUUGAGGGUUUGCUUGAAUAAUGUAGUGAGGGCGCCGGUUGAGCAUACCGCCUCCCCUCUAAAUCCGCCCGGCUAUUUUAUAUACCUAUUCUAUUUAUAGUCAAAUUGGGUUUCUUGUUUAAGGUCACAUGACGCGUACAUUGCAGUGCAUUUUAAAGCGAAAGUUCACACUAAGAAAGAACAAUAAAUUACUUUGCAACACUUACAUUUUAUUUCUACAAUUGUAAAAAUAUGCUGAAAAUUGGUUUAUGGAUUAACACUAUUUUGAACACAUCGUUAAAGGACUGAUCGACAGACAUUUUCCAAUAAAGUAAUAAUGAUAAAAGGAAAUUAAAGUUAGAAAAGAUUUGUUUACUGUUACAAGUUGUAAACUGGUGUUAAACAUUUUGGUAUUGAUUUAUCAUAUUAGGGAAAGGUUGCAUCAGUAUAACAUAGCAAGCGUCAGUUAGGAUGUAAUUUUAAUGAGAAAGAUGGCAGACAAAUACUAUAGACUGGUUUGCUUUGUUUGGGUAGAUAUUUGCGCCGACGUAUUAAGGAAAUAUUUU